UACGUAGGUGGCAAGCGUUGUCCGGAUUUAUUGGGCGUAAAGAGCGUGUAGGCGGCUAGGUAGGUCCGUUGUGAAAACUCGAGGCUCAACCUCGAGACGCCGAUGGAAACCAUCUGGCUAGAGUCCGGAAGAGGAGAGUGGAAUUCCCGGUGUAGCGGUGAAAUGCGCAGAUAUCGGGAGGAACACCUAUGGCGAAGGCAGCUCGCUGGGACGUUACUGACGCUGAGACGCGAAAGCGUGGGGAGCAAACAGG
rnacentral:rRNA from 1 species